CAUGUAGGAAUUUAAAAGUUGAACAAACUUCUUUUCAUCAACUUCUUCGCCGAAAAAGAAUCCUAAUCCAACAUCGAGGUCGCAAACUAUUUUAUCUAUAUGAACUAUCCAAAAUUAUUACGCUGUUAUCCCUAGAGUAUUUUUUUCAUUUAAUCGCUAAAAACGGAACCAACUUUUAUUUUAAAAAAGAUACUUAUUCUUUUUUUAUCACCCCAAAUAAACUUUUUUUAAAAUAAAAAAUUAAAAAAAAAAUAAAAAUUCAUAGGGUCUUCUUGUCCCUAAUUUAAAUUUUUGCUUUUGCACUAAAAAAUCAAAUUUAAUUAUUUAAUUAAAGAAAGCCUCUAAUUGUUCAACCAUUCUCUUAGCACUCAUUUAAAAUCUUAUUUCAAUACCUUCGUAUAGUCAAAAUACCACAGCAAUUUAAAUAAUCAUUGAGCAGGUUAUACAUCUUAUUACUCUUCAAGAUGAAAUGUUUUUGU
rnacentral:rRNA from 1 species